rnacentral:rRNA from 1 species
UACGUAGGCAGCGAGCGUUGUUCGGAGUUACUGGGCGUAAAGGGUGUGUAGGCGGUUGUUUAAGUUUGGUGUGAAAUCUCCCGGCUCAACUGGGAGGGUGCGCCGAAUACUGAAUGACUUGGAGUGCGGGAGAGGUGAGUGGAAUUCCUGGUGUAGCGGUGAAAUGCGUAGAUAUCAGGAGGAACACCGGCGGUGUAGACGGCUUUCUGGACCGUAGCUGACGCUGAGACACGAAAGCGUGGGUAGCAAACAGG